CAGAUAGGUGAUAGGGCACCCAUCUCAACUCAUUAUCCUUUUUAAUAAAAACAAUAUUAAUCAUAGUUUUAGUCUUUGCUCUUUUAUAUUAUGAGGUGGAGAAAUUAUUGAUUGGAUCGGAUCGACCUUUUCAGCAGUGGAAUAUUAAUCUAACCAUAAAAAAUAUGCACCAUAAUUUCACCUCUGGGCAAUGCAGAUAUUGACAAAAAAGAAACAUAAGAAAAAGAGAUCAACGCAGGCAUAUUUAUGUAUG
rnacentral:lncRNA from 1 species